GUCUACUUUGGCACACAUACACUAAAAUUAGAACAUUACAGAGAAGAUUACCAUGGUGCCUGCUCAGCGAUAGCAUGCAAAUUCAUAAAGGCUUUCAUAUUUUU